ACAUACGACCAUAGGGUGUGGAAAACAGGGCUUCCCGUCCGCUCAGCCGUACUUAAGCCACACGCCGGUGAGUUAGUAGUUGGGUGGGUGACCACCAGCGAAUCCUCACUGUUUUAUGUU
rfam:Penicillium italicum strain PHI-1 contig2645, whole genome shotgun sequence.